UCACACUGGGGAAAGCCUCGCUGUUGCCAUUAGGAUCCUUACACAUUGCAACUUACUCAAUGCCCAAGACAAAUGGCGACAAUAUAUUUCUUUAGUAACCUACAAGUAAAUAUUGCUGGAGGUCUCCCAAGCACCUGUGUAAAAGAUGGUGGUUCAAAAUGACAGUCGGGAUAACCCAGAGCAAAGAUCAACCAGCAUAGUUGCCAAAAAGGAAGGAGUUGCCCGUAGAGGAUGAACCGUGGUACUUUCACUGGGCGGACAGCUCACUGGACUGAGUGCCCGAGGCAGCCGGCUCCGAAAACCAGUAGCCGCCUCACCAAGUCGAGCAUCGCAAGCGCAGUUGGCGCUGAAUUUCUGCUCCGUCUGCCUUCGGCAAACUCAUCUCCGCAACGUUACUGUACGCGAUCGAUCAGGUCCUCCUGCAAGUCCAGAGAAGCUGCAAAGGAAAAUUUGGCCAAAGGUGAAAGUUUUUCUUGUCCAUAGUUGACUGGAUGUACAUGG